GGAUGUGAGGACAAUCUGGCUAAUGAUGCCUGCACAUUGAUGGCCAGGGUUGAUUCUGCUGAUCUGGCUGGCUAAGCCCUUCUUGUCCCAUCACUCCAAUCAUCCCUUCCAAUGCUGUGACUUCAGUGGAAGAGGAGGACCAUCCUACAUGGAAGAGGACCAAGUCUUAGGCCAAGGGUAUUUGACUAACUGUGCUCUCCUGAUAGAACUUCGAACACGUUCUCAGUAACUGUCAUGAUUCAAACUAGCCAUUCUGGAAGGUUGUUCAAAUUUUCUCACAUUUUCUGUUUUGCUCUAUGUAUUGUGUAUGUGCUAUAUAUA
rnacentral:snRNA from 1 species